AUUGAACGCUGGCGGCAUGCCUUACACAUGCAAGUCGAACGGUAACGGGCCUUCGGGUGCCGACGAGUGGCGAACGGGUGAGUAAUGUAUCGGAACGUACCUUUCAGUGGGGGAUAACGUAGCGAAAGUUACGCUGAUACCGCAUAUUCUGUGAGCAGGAAAGCAGGGGAUCGCAAGACCUUGCGCUGAUUGAGCGGCCGAUAUCAGAUUAGCUAGUUGGUGAGGUAAAGGCUCACCAAGGCGACGAUCUGUAGCGGGUCUGAGAGGAUGAUCCGCCACACUGGAACUGAGACACGGUCCAGACUCCUACGGGAGGCAGCAGUGGGGGAAUUUUGGACAAUGGGGGGCAACCCUGAUCCAGCCAUGCCGCGUGAGUGAAGAAGGCCU
rnacentral:rRNA from 1 species